rnacentral:rRNA from 1 species
AUUGAACGCUGGCGGCGGGCCUAACACAUGCAAGUCGAGCGGAUGAAGGGAGCUUGCUCCUGGAUUCAGCGGCGGACGGGUGAGUAAUGCCUAGGAAUCUGCCUGGUAGUGGGGGAUAACGUCCGGAAACGGGCGCUAAUACCGCAUACGUCCUGAGGGAGAAAGUGGGGGAUCUUCGGACCUCACGCUAUCAGAUGAGCCUAGGUCGGAUUAGCUAGUUGGUGGGGUAAAGGCCUACCAAGGCGACGAUCCGUAACUGGUCUGAGAGGAUGAUCAGUCACACUGGAACUGAGACACGGUCCAGACUCCUACGGGAGGCAGCAGUGGGGAAUAUUGGACAAUGGGCGAAAGCCUGAUCCAGCCAUGCCGCGUGUGUGAAGAAGGUCUUCGGAUUGUAAAGCACUUUAAGUUGGGAGGAAGGGCAGUAAGUUAAUACCUUGCUGUUUUGGCGUUACCAACAGAAUAAGCACCGGCUAACUUCGUG